rnacentral:rRNA from 1 species
GCUUACGGCCAUACUAACCUGGCUAUGCCCGAUCUCGUCUGCUCUCGGAAGCUAAGCAGGUUUGGGCCUGGUUAGUACUUGGAUGGGAGACCGCCUGGCAAUACCAGGUGCUGUAAGCU